CCUGUUGCAGCUUCAGUCACAUUGCCAGUAUGAUGUCUGGGUUAUUAAUGACCCUAAAUUUGCAGUCUGCAUUGAGAGAAACCGCAAAGUACAACUGUUAAUUUAUUGUAUGUGACGGGCCUGUGUUUAUUGCACUGACUUCAACUUCUAUUUAAACCCAGGUGAUCUGCUGCUUAACCAUUUGUUCACAUACAUUUUCUGGACGGAUGGGUUUUUAUUUUCUAGAUCAUGGUUUAGCCUUACUUUUGCAUCCUGGAUUUUGAUUCACUACAAUUCCAAAUUUAUUGUAGUGAAUCAAAAUCCAACACUCUCUAAAGAACUUUCGUCUCAGCAUUAUUUUGACAUUGGCCGCAGGAAUAUAAUAUAUUCCACAAAGUAUUCAAAUGCCAAAUAUCUGUUUAUUUCUGUACUGAUUAUCUUAAUAUUAUCUAUGUGCUUGUAUGGUUAUUGUAGCACUUACUCAAAAAACAAUAAAUCCAUGUACGCAGGGUUAUUCAAUAAAGCGCGCGUUCUUGGGAAUUCAAAGUGAAUCUCACAUUGUUAGCCUAAAAUAUUCAAACUGAAUACAGAGCUAAACGUUUGCAUUUUUCCAAUUUUGGGCACUUCGGCCUAAAGUUUUAAAUUCAUUUUUAAUUCCCCAAAAUGCAUACGUUAAUGAAUAACAUCCACAGUUUGCCAAUGCCUGGGUACAUGCAGUGCAUUGAGGGUUACCAGAUCCAUACAAAGGGUUCCUAUGCUAUAAUGCUUAUAUGGGGAACACAUGAAAAUAAUUGCCAUGUAACUCAUAGCAUUUAGGUGCUGCAGGAGGGAUAUCAAUUAAUUAAUCAAAAAUGUCUUUUCUGCAGUACAUGACCUCUAUUUCCUGAAUUGCAUCACUUUUCAUGUACAACCCAUCAGCACUAAGAAGUUAUAUGUUUAGAUACUGUUUUUGGUUUGCUUUGUGAUUUUCCUUCUUUUCACUAGUAUGGCUCACUUGAAAUUCUUGUCUAAACAAAAUUGGUGAUUCGAUUCUCUUUAAAUGUCCAACUCAUUUUUUAUUAGGCUGUGUAUCACGGAUUUGUUUUUAAUAUAAUACAUAUUCUCAUAGCUAAGGGUUAUUUGUGUUAUCCAUCACGCAAGCUAUAAGAAUGUCUUUACAUGUUAUCAG